AUGUGGGGGGCUGCAGGCUGCCACAUCUGCCACCCCGUUACUUGCCAGGGUUGAUUCGGCUCAUCUGGCUGGCUAGACGGGUGUCCCCUUCCUCCCUCGCCACUCCAUGGGCAUCCCUCCCGAAACCACGCACUCAGUCUGAAGAGGGUGAUCUUCCCUGAAUAAAGGAGGACCGGUCUUUGGUCAAGGGUAGACAAGUAGCUGCCCCCCCCAGAACCUCCAAACAAGCUCUUAAGGUCCAUGUGUGAAAUGUCCAAACCUCCAGUCAUCUGAUACAUCCCUCAGCAACCGAG
rnacentral:snRNA from 1 species